CCUACGGGAGACAGCAGUGAGGAAUAUUGGUCAAUGGACGAGAGUCUGAACCAGCCAAGUAGCGUGAAGGAUGACUGCCCUAUGGGUUGUAAACUUCUUUUAUCUGGGAAUAAAAUGUUCCACGUGUGGGUUUUUGUAUGUACCAUAUGAAUAAGGAUCGGCUAACUCCGUGCCAGCAGCCGCGGUAAUACGGAGGAUCCGAGCGUUAUCCGGAUUUAUUGGGUUUAAAGGGAGCGUAGGUGGAUUGUUAAGUCAGUUGUGAAAGUUUGCGGCUCAACCGUAAAAUUGCAGUUGAAACUGGCAGUCUUGAGUACAGGAGAGGUAGGCGGAAUGCGUGGUGUAGCGGUGAAAUGCUUAGAUAUCACGAAGAACUCCGAUUGCGAAGGCAGCUCACUGGACUGCAACUGACACUGAGGCUCGAAAGUGUGGGUAUCAAACAGGAUUAGAUACCCCAGUAGUC
rnacentral:rRNA from 1 species